CCCUUAGAUGUCCUGGGCCGCACGCGUGCUACACUGAUGCAUACAGCGAGUACUUUCCAGCUCCGCGAGGCAGCUGGUAAUCAGCAAUAUGCAUCGUGCUGGGGAUAGAUCUUUGGAAUUAUAGGUCUUGAACGAGGAAUUCCUAGUAAGCGCAAGUCAUUAGCUUGCGCUGAUUAAGUCCCUGCCCUUUGUACACACCGCCCGUCGCUCCUACCGAUUUCGAGUGAUUCGGUGAACCUUUUGGACAGCGUCUGUCCUCGUGUCAGAUGCUGAAAGUCAAGUAAACCAUAUCACUUAGAGGAAGGAGAAGUCGUAACA
rnacentral:rRNA from 1 species